GACGAACGCUGGCGGCGUGCUUAACACAUGCAAGUCGAACGGAAAGGCCUAGCUUGCUGGGUACUCGAGUGGCGAACGGGUGAGUAACACGUGGGUGAUCUGCCCCUGACUUUGGGAUAAGCCUGGGAAACUGGGUCUAAUACCGGAUAUUCAUUUUUCCUCGCAUGGGGAUUUGUGGAAAGCUUUUGCGGUUGGGGAUGGGCCCGCGGCCUAUCAGCUUGUUGGUGGGGUAAUGGCCUACCAAGGCGACGACGGGUAGCCGACCUGAGAGGGUGAUCGGCCACACUGGGACUGAGACACGGCCCAGACUCCUACGGGAGGCAGCAGUGGGGAAUAUUGCACAAUGGGCGCAAGCCUGAUGCAGCGACGCCGCGUGAGGGAUGAUGGCCUUCGGGUUGUAAACCUCUUUCAGCUCCGACGAAGCGCAAGUGACGGUAGGAGCAGAAGAAGCACCGGCCAACUACGUG
rnacentral:rRNA from 1 species